rnacentral:rRNA from 1 species
AACAACUCACCUGCCGAAUGAAUUAGCCCUGAAAAUGGAUGGCGCUGAAGCGGGCAGCCGACACCGCGCCGUUCCGGCGAGACGAUGCCGGGAUGAGUAGGAGGGCGUGGCGGUCAGUGACGCAGGCGAGGGUGCAGACCCCGCUGAAACGGCCGCUAGUGCAGAUCUUGGUGGUAGUAGCAAAUAUUCAAGCGAGAUCCUUGAAGGGCGAAGCGGGGAAGGGUUCCACGCAAACAUUGAUUGGGCGUGGGUGAGUCGUUCCUAAGCCGAGUGGCAAUUGCUAAGUAGCGGCGAAAGGGAAGCGGGUUAAAAUUCCCGCACACGGAUAUGGAGGCGGCGACGCAAGCAGAGGCAAAUACGCUGGCGAGGGCGCUGGGCAGAGUUGUCUUUUCUGUUUGACCGGCAUCGCGCUGUGUGGAAUCCGCUUAUCGGGAGAAACACGCGCGGGGAGGGGCAGAGCGUCAGGUCUUUUCUGGCGUCCGGCUCGCCCUCGACGGCCCUUGAAAAUUUGCCCGCGAACUUUAAAAUUUCAUGCUGUGACGUACCGAUAACCGCAUCAGGUCCCCAAGGUGAACAGCCUCUGCUCAAUAUGAACAAU